GACGAACGCCGGCGGCGUGCUUAACACAUGCAAGUCGAGCGGUAAGGCCCUUUCGGGGGUACACGAGCGGCGAACGGGUGAGUAACACGUGGGUGACCUGCCCUCAGCUCUGGGAUAAGCCUGGGAAACCGGGUCUAAUACUGGAUAUGACUCCAUGACGCAUGUUGUGGGGUGGAAAGCCUUGUGCGGCUGAGGAUGGGCCCGCGGCCUAUCAGCUUGUUGGUGGGGUGAUGGCCUACCAAGGCGACGACGGGUAGCCGGCCUGAGAGGGCGACCGGCCACACUGGGACUGAGACACGGCCCAGACUCCUACGGGAGGCAGCAGUGGGGAAUCUUGCGCAAUGGGCGAAAGCCUG
rnacentral:rRNA from 1 species